AAGCUGACCUCCUCUUUUCUCUCUGGCCCUCCAGCCCACAAGUUCCUGGCUCAUUGCUGUGGCUGAAACAUUUAUAAGUGCCUCGUCCAGGCAUCCGGUGGGAGGCCAAGGUGGGCACGUGGCAGGUGGCGAAAGGAGUGUGGAUUCAGGAGAAAGUUUAGAAGGGCUCUUGCCCCUUUCUCAGGAGCUGGAUGACAAGGCCUGGGCAUGGUUGUGUUUGCCCAAAUGCAGAUAAGAUCAGUCCUGGCAGAUCCACUGAGCCCCAGCUCCCGAAGAGAAAUGGAAGAUAAUAAACAGGUACCACAGGGGAUAAAUAGACA
rnacentral:lncRNA from 1 species